ACCUUUUGGGCAAUGAGCAAAGAGACACCUUGUUGGUGGUGGUGUUCUUCUAUCAGUCAGAGGCAGAGCAAAUGGCCUCACUUUGCUCAUCCUAGCUCGACGCCUGACUUGGUGGCCAAAGCUGUCUUAUGCUUAGGACUCAUAA